rnacentral:rRNA from 1 species
GGGCUUGACAUCCCACGAACCUGCCCGAAAGGGUUGGGUGCCCGCAAGGGAGCGUGGAGACAGGUGGUGCAUGGCUGUCGUCAGCUCGUGUCGUGAGAUGUUGGGUUAAGUCCCGCAACGAGCGCAACCCUCACCCCUUGUUGCCACCGGGUAAAGCCGAGCACUCUAGGGGAACUGCUAGCGUCAAGCUGGAGGAAGGUGGGGAUGACGUCAAGUCAUCAUGCCCCUUACGCCCUGGGCUACACACGUGCUACAAUGGCCGGUACAAAGGGAUGCAAGACCGCGAGGUGGAGCUAACCCCAAAAAACCGGUCUAAGUUCAGAUUGCAGUCUGCAACUCGACUGCAUGAAGGAGGAAUCGCUAGUAAUCGCGCAUCAGCACGGCGCGGUGAAUACGUUCCCGGGCCUUGUACACACCGCCCGUCACACCACGAAAGCCGGCUGUACUCGAAGUCGCUGAG